rnacentral:lncRNA from 1 species
CAGGUGUGUAUGGGGUGCGGGUGUGGGGGUGUGCAGGUGUGUAUGGGGUGCGGGUGUGGGGGUGUGCAGGUGUGUAUGGGGUGCGGGUGUGUGUGCAGGUAUGUAUGGGGUGGGGGUGUGCAGGUGUGUAUGGGGGUGAAGCUAUGGGGUAUAUGCAGGUGCGUAUGAAGGUGCAUGUAUGGGGGUGUGCAGAUGUGUAUGAGGUACAGGUAUUGGGUGUGUUAGUGUGUAUGGGGUGCAGGUGGGUGUGUGGGUGUGCGAGUGCAUGAUGUGUUUGGUGUGGGGUCGGGGUGGGGGUGGGGGUGUGCUGUGGUUUUUGUCUCCACCAAAAUUUAAGCGUCAUAACCGAAUGGCCAGUGUGAUGGUGUUAGGAGUGGUUAGGCCGUGAAGGGGAUGAAGGUCCUUGCAGACCAGGCCUCAGUCAGCAGAGACCUCUCACCCUCCCAGCGCCUCCACGUGAGAACACAGUGUCUGUCCCCUCCGUAGGAUGCAGCAGAAAGGUACCACCUUGGAAGCUGAGCGCCCCCCUCGCCAGACACCAGACCUGCUGGCUCCUGAAUCUUGGACUUCCAGCCUCCAGAAUGGGGAGAAAUAAGUUUCUGUUCUUUAAAAUUACUCCGUCUCAGGUAUUUUGUUACAGCAGCACAUGGGGAUUGAGACUGGGUGUGCAGGUGGUGGAGGAGGGUGUGCAGGUGUGUUUGAGGGUGUUUGCCUCAAUCUUUAGACGGCAUCAGGGCCACAAUACCUGCAGGUGUCGGGACGUUAACUGCAGACCUUGGUGAAUAAAAGCCAGUUGUCCUGAGUUUGGCAAGAAAACCUUUGGAAGAGGCCUCACAAGCCACUCCAGGCUACAAGACGGGGCGUUUGUCCUGGGGGACCUGCCGUCACCCUUAGUGGUCCAGCAGCACCGUCUCAGCCUCUCUGGCCAGAGCAGCUGCCCCGCAGGGGCCCCCGAGUCCUGGAGAGCUAUGUCAGACAAGAUGUCCAUGGGCAGCAGACCUCUGGCCACUGCAGGCUCCAGGCACCAGAGUGAGACCCAGCAGGCUUCAGCCGGCAAGAGGGCCCCUGACUGUGGACGACUCCCUCACGGUGGUGGUCUUGGAGGGAUCCCUGCUAACAGAAAGGGUGCAUCCCUGUCCACCUUCCCGUCCUUACCCCCAAAGUCAGCGUCAGCAGCUGGCCCGCAUCGGAGGCAUUCAGAUAGGAGUCCUUGGGGACCGCCCCCAACCGACAGGAACUGGAAAUGCCUUGAGUACUGAGGGAGGAGGGCUGCAGGGACAGGAGGGAGGGUGCCCUUAAACACACUUGCUGGCCCUUCUCAGGAGAAACCCUUCCUUGCCAUGGGUCAUGGUGAAGCUGUGCCCCGAGUUAAGCCAGUGACCGAAUUCCUGAGCUCAGAGGAUGGCCGGUGAAACAACUUGCUAAAAUGCUGAGACUCCCUCCACUCGUGAGACUACGAAAAAACGUGCUGAAGUCAGUUAGAGCCAUGGUGGCCAAAGUCUCUGCUCAGAACCAGCUGCGCAGGUCCCUCCCCCGGUUCCUCCUAGGCUGAGUACUCUGGGGUCGCAGUCUUCCCGGACGUCGCCUGUUGGUUGUUGUAGGGGUUUCAGGUGUUUGUUUUUUUUUUUAGGGUUGUCUUGCUGCAUUUUGUUGCGGACCACAAUGCAUUGCAAUCCUAGUCAGCUCAGGGGCUUUUCAAGUAUUUGACUUAAGAGCUGAGUAGCUGGGCAGGCUGAUAAGAACAGACAAAGUGAGCUCUUUUGCAGGCUAGUAAACUUUCAUCUUAGACUACUUUGGUUCAGGUGAGGGCAGCUAAGCAGGUGGGAAGGCAGGGAGGGGGAGGCCGACAAGCAGGCAUUGGGGCCCAUCCAAGCAGGGGCCUAGUACAUCCUGUUUUUUUGUAGUUUGCUGACCUAAACCGGAUCAAGCCACCUUGUCUUGGAAAUGGACCACUGCGUGCGUUAUUUCACCUCCACCCGAGUCCACCUCACGCUUUCCUCCCUCCUCAUGCCCCCUUGUCCCCUCAUCCUCCCAACUGCCAUGGCUUUGUGAGGCGCCCUGGGUUCCGUGGCUACCGUGUCGACCAGGGCAGCCCACCCACUUCUCACUUUGGUCUGGAGUUGGCAAGAGCGACGCUGCUUUUCUCUUGCUCUUCAGCCUGGACCUGUGAUGUGAUAGGCGUGAGAAGGAACUGUGGGUUCUGGCGGUAAGGAAAGUGGGGCCUUACUUUCCCAUGUUCCCAAAAGGCAGAUGCAAUCCCUGCACUCCUGAAGGAGUCAAGCAGUAAAGACGACACAGCAAGACUGUCCGGGACUCAGGCUGUGAGGAUUUGUCUCAUGAGGGGCCUCAGAAAAG